UUGGGGACUAGAAUGAAUGGUUUAAUAAAUUGGUUUGGUUUGUUUUACUAUAUAGUAAAUUAAAGGUGAAGUAAGAAUUCUUUAAUAUAUUAUGGGACGAUAAGACCCUAAAAGCUUUAUAACAAGAAUAUUUAUGGUGCUGCAUAAAAACUUAAUUAACUGGGGUAGUUUAUUUAGAUAAAUUAAAUAAUUAUUAAAUAUCCUUUAAAUAAAGAUUUUGUGUAAGUUACUUUAGGGGUAACAGUGUAAUAUACUUGGAGAGAUCUAAUCUAUAAGUAUGUUUGCAACCUCGAUGUUGAAUUAGAAAGUCUAUACAGGCAGAAUAUGUGUUAGAGAGUUUGUUCAACUUUUAAUUUUCUACAUGAUCUGAGUUCAAACCGG
rnacentral:rRNA from 1 species